GAUGAACGCUAGCGGCAGGCUUAACACAUGCAAGUCGAGGGGCAGCAUAAACAUUGCUUGCAAUGUUUGAUGGCGACCGGCGCACGGGUGCGUAACGCGUAUGCAACCUACCCAUAACAGGGGGAUAACACUGAGAAAUUGGUACUAAUACCCCGUAAUAUUAUGAAAGGCAUCUUUUAUAGUUGAAAGUUCCGGCGGUUAUGGAUGGGCAUGCGUUGUAUUAGCUAGUUGGUGAGGUAACGGCUCACCAAGGCGACGAUGCGUAGCCGACCUGAGAGGGUGAUCGGCCACACUGGGACUGAGACACGGCCCAG
rnacentral:rRNA from 1 species